GGGGGCUUAGCUCAGCUGGGAGAGCAUCUGCCUUACAAGCAGAGGGUCAGCGGUUCGAUCCCGUUACCCCACC
rnacentral:tRNA from 1 species